UGUUCUUUUUCUACCUUUUGUUAAAUAUUCUUUCUAGAAAUUAAUGAAUUGAAUAAUUUAAAUUUUAUUUUUAUUUUUAGCAUAAUUCUAUUAAAUUUUAAAUUAUACUCCCUCCGUCUCACAAAAAUAUGAAUAAUUGGAAGUGACAUUGGUUUUAAGAAGUAUUAGUUGAAAAUUAUUGUGAGUGGAAAAUAGGUCUCACUUUAAAAAAG
rnacentral:lncRNA from 1 species